UUACAUUUUUUGUUUGUUUUGAGACAGGGUCUUGCUCUGUUGCCCAGACUGGAGUGCGGUGGCAUGAUCACGGUUCACUGUGGCCUCCACAUCCUGGGUUCAAGCAAUUCUCCCUGCCUCAGCCUCUCAAGUAGCUG